rnacentral:rRNA from 1 species
UACGAAGGGGGCUAGCGUUGUUCGGAAUCACUGGGCGUAAAGCGCACGCAGGCGGAUCGAUAAGUCGGGGGUGAAAGCCCGGGGCUCAACCUCGGAAUUGCCUUUGAAACUAUCGGUCUCGAGUCCGGGAGAGGUGAGCGGAAUUCCUAGUGUAGAGGUGAAAUUCGUAGAUAUUAGGAGGAACACCAGUGGCGAAGGCGGCUCACUGGCCCGACACUGACGCUCAGGCGCGAAAGCGUGGGGAGUAAACAGG